rnacentral:misc_RNA from 1 species
GUGAAUCAUCGAAUUUUUGAACGCAAAUUGCACUCUCUUCGGAGAGUAUGCCUGUUUGAGGGUCAGCCUAAAAAAAAAUCGACAUAGUCGCUGUUUCGCGGUGACAUUCGUCGGAAAUUGGGUAAUCUUAAACCUUUGGGUUUUAAGCGGCCUAAAUUUUUUUUUACGAUUCUGCAAAUUUUUAUAAGUUUUU